rnacentral:rRNA from 1 species
UACGUAAGUAGCAAGCGUUGUCCGGAAUUACUGGGUGUAAAGGGAGCGUAGGCGGGUGAAUAAGUUGAAUGUUAAAUCUAUGGGCUCAACCCAUAGCCGCGUUCAAAACUGUUCAUCUUGAGUGAAGUAGAGGCAGGCGGAAUUCCUAGUGUAGCGGUGAAAUGCGUAAAUAUUAGGAGGAACACCAGUGGCGAAGGCGGCCUGCUGGGCUUUAACUGACGCUGAGGCUCGAAAGCGUGGGGAGCAAACAGG